rnacentral:rRNA from 1 species
CCUACGGGUGGCAGCAGUGGGGGAUAUUGCACAAUGGGGGAAACCCUGAUGCAUCGCCGCCGCUUGUGUUCCUCCUUUCCUCUUUCUUUUCCCCCCCUUUCCCCCUUUCCUACGAUGACGGUACCUGGGGAGGAAGCUCCGGCUAACUACGUGCCAGCAGCCGCGGUAAUACGUAGGGAGCGAGCGUUGUCCGGAAUUACUGGGUGUAAAGGGAGCGUAGGCGGGGAUGCAAGUUGGGUGUCAAAACUACCGGCUCAACUGGUAGUCGCACUCAAAACUGCAGCUCUUGAGUGAAGUAGAGGCAGGCGGAAUGCCUAGUGUAGCGGUGAAAUGCGUAGAUAUUAGGAGGAACACCAGUGGCGAAGGCGGCCUGCUGGGCUUUUACUGACGCUGAGGCUCGAAAGUGUGGGGAGCAAACAGGAUUAGAUAAAAUGGUAGUC